GACGAACGCUGGCGGCGUGCUUAACACAUGCAAGUCGAACGGAAAGGCCCCUUUGGGGGUACUCGAGUGGCGAACGGGUGAGUAACACGUGAGUAACCUGCCCUUGACUUCGGGAUAACUUCAGGAAACUGGGGCUAAUACCGGAUAGGAAUCCUUGCUGCAUGGUGGGGGUUGGAAAGCUUCGGCGGUUUUGGAUGGACUCGCGGCUUAUCAGCUUGUUGGUGGGGUAGUGGCUUACCAAGGCUUUGACGGGUAGCCGGCCUGAGAGGGGGACCGGCCACAUUGGGACUGAGAUACGGCCAGGACUCCGACGGGAGGAAGCAGUGGGGAAUAUUGCACAAUGGGCGGAAGCCUGAUGCCACAACGCCGCGUGCGGGAUGACGGCCUUCGGGUUGUAAGCCGCUUUCAGCAGGGGCGAAGCUUGUGGUGACGGUACCUGCAGAAGAAGCACCGGCUAACUACGUG
rnacentral:rRNA from 1 species